UACAGAGGGGGCAAGCGUUGUUCGGAAUUACUGGGCGUAAAGGGCGCGUAGGUGGCCUUCUAAGUUGAACGUGAAAUCCCUGGGCUCAACCCAGGAACUGCGUCCAAGACUGGGAGGCUUGAAUCCGGGAGAGGGAUGCGGAAUUCCAGGUGUAGCGGUGAAAUGCGUAGAUAUCGGGAGGAACAUCAGUGGCGAAGGCGGCUACCUGGCCCAAUACUGACACUCAGGUGCGACAGCGUGGGGAGCAAACAGG
rnacentral:rRNA from 1 species